GUGGCUAGAGGUGGAAAUAGGCUUCCAUUUUGAACCUUAGCUUAUCGACUGUCUUCUACAUGGCCACAUUAACUCCUAGACCAAAGGAACAGAAUUAAUGCUGCACAGACAGAAGCGGAGAUGCAACAUGGUUUGUAUGCAUGAUACACAGGCUCAAGCGGAUGUAUUAAGGCAUUGGCAGCGAUGACGAUGUGAGUGAAUUUUUUGCAAGAAAAUUUUAAAUAAAUAUGGAGAGCCAAAGGGCACAGAGCAAGCUGAUGAAGUAUAUUGUAUUUACCCAGAAUGUACAAAUGGUGGCAAAGGAAUAGGGAGGGAAAGACAGCUGAUACAUAUGGCAAGACUUCAGCAAAAGAAGCAUGAUCUGUACAACCAGACGUGUUUACCUACACAGAUGGAAGAGUGUCACCAAAACGCAUACAGAAAUCGAGGAAGACUAGUGCGGGAAAUAAACAGGAUCAAGAUGUGCAAGCAUGGGAUUAACUACACCACACAGAGAAGUUGACGGAAAUGCAGGCAUUCCCUGCUGCAGCUUCACAGGAGGACUGACUGCUCUUCCCUCCUUUGGCUACAGAUGAUUCCGUUCCACUCCACUCUCAAAGGCAGCAGAUCCACUGUAAGAUCGCGCCUGAGGAGACAGUAGAAGGUAAAACAACACCACAGCACCGCCGCCACGGCGGGUGUAAAUUUGCAACGAAGCUCGUUAUCAUCUAAAGAAGACUCCUUCUUAAACUGCUUAUAUGAAGCUCCCGGCAAUACAUGGUUAUCCAGGUUGCGAUACAUUAUUUGAAAACACGAUUUACGCCGAGCGGUUCAGACCCCGUUCUUCGUGACAACAGUUGCCAGAUGACUGUCAACAACUCAUUUCAUGUGUCAAGGUAACAGGAGUGGGACCCGCCUCCACAGAAAUUACACGUUAAUACUGUAAUGAUUCCUUUGUAACCUUUGCGCGCUGCUUCAGAUAAUGACUCAUAAG